rnacentral:rRNA from 1 species
ACAUGGAUACAACAUAGCAUUAAUGCAUUGGAUCCCAUUAGAACUCUGAAGUUAAGCGUGCUCAGGCUAGAGUAGCACUGGGAUGGGUGACCGCCUUGGAAGUGCUAGUGUUUUACAUGCC